ensembl:lncRNA
CUAUUAUGGGAUGUGGGACCCCAACCCUAUGGGCUAUUAUGGGAUGUGGGGCCCCCAUUCCUAUGGGCUAUUAUGGGAUGCUGGGGACCCCACGUGACCUCUGGGCUAUUACGGGAUGUGCCCCGCUGUGGGUCGGCACUCACUGGCAGUGCAGCCCCCCAACCCUAUGGGCUAUGAUGGGAUGUGGGACCCCCAAUCCUAUGGGCUAUUAUGGGAUGUGGGACCCCCAACCCUAUGGGCUAUUAUGGGAUGUGGGACCCCAACCCUAUGGGCUAUUAUGGGAUGUGGGACCCCCAACCCUAUGGGCUAUGAUGGGAUGUGGGACCCCAACCCUAUGGGCUAUUAUGGGAUGUGGGACCCCCAAUCCUAUGGGCUAUUAUGGGACGUCGGGACCCCAAUCCUAUGGGCUAUGAUGGGAUGCUGGGGACCCCACGUGACCUCUGGGCUAUUAUGGGAUGUGCCCCGCUGUGGGUCGGCACUCACUGGCAGUGUGGGCCGGCGGUGGACACCCUGCAGUGGCCGCUGUUGCAGUCGAUGGUGUGGGCGGUGUUGGGGGCGCAGGCGGUGACGCAGCGCACGGUGGGGCCCGAAGUGACGGCGUAGUAAAAGGGCUGGAAGCCAACGGGGGCCAACGAGGAGCACAGAGCUGUGGGGUUAUAGGGCGGUUAUAGGGUCAGCUGGGGGGUUACGGGGUCAGCUGGGGGGUUAUGGGGUGGGUUAUGGGGUUAUGGGGUCAGGGGGGACAGUGGGGUUAUGGGAGGUGAUGGUGGAGUAAAAGGGCUGGAAGCCAACGGGGGCCAACGAGGAGCACAGAGCUGUGGGGUUAUGGGGGGGUUAUAGGGUCAGCUGGGGGGUUACGGGGUCAGCUGGGGGGUUAUGGGGUGGGUUAUGGGGUUAUGGGGUCGGCAGGGGGGUUACGGGGUCAGCUGGGGGGUUAUGGGGGGGGUUAUGGGGUUAUGGGGUCAGGGGGGUGUGGGGUUAUGGGGGGUGAUGGCGGAGUAAAAGGGCUGGAAGCCAACGGGGGCCAACGAGGAGCACAGAGCUGUGGGGUUAUAGGGCGGUUAUAGGGUCAGCUGGGGGGUUAUAGGGUCAGCAUUGGGGGUAUGGGGUCAGGGGGGUGUGGGGUUAUGGGGGGUGAUGGCGGAGUAAAAGGGCUGGAAGCCAACGGGGGCCAACGAGGAGCACAGAGCUGUGGGGUUAUAGGGCGGUUAUAGGGUCAGCUGGGGG